rfam:Myotis davidii contig140675, whole genome shotgun sequence.
GGUGGUUCUUGGGUGAUGCAUCCUGGAAUAGGGCUUCCUCCUCUCUGGUUCCAGGUGUGUCACCUGAGAACUGCA